GAUGAACGCUGGCGGCGUGCCUAAUACAUGCAAGUCGAACGCAUUGUGGUUGAAAUGAUAUGAAGAACUUGUUCAGAUUUGAUUUUCAACAUUGCAAUGAGUGGCGAACGGGUGAGUAACACGUGGGAAACCUACCUCUUAGCAGGGGAUAACAUUUGGAAACAAAUGCUAAUACCGUAUAAUAAUUAAAACCGGAUGGUUUUAGUUUAAAAGAUGGUCUUGCUAUCACUAAGAGAUGGUCCCGCGGUGUAUUAGUUAGUUGGUGAGGUAAUGGCUCACCAAGACAAUGAUACAUAGCCGAGUUGAGAGACUGACCGGCCACAAUGGGACUGAGACACGGCCCAUACUCCUACGGGAGGCAGCAGUAGGGAAUCUUCCACAAUGGACGAAAGUCUGAUGGAGCAACGCCGCGUGUGUGAUGAAGGGUUUCGGCUCGUAAACACUGUUGUAAGAGAAGAAUGACAUUGAGAGUAACUG
rnacentral:rRNA from 1 species